CAAAAUAUAUAAUUUCGCUACAAUUACGGGCACUUCUCAAAUUCCUCUUUUUCAAAACGACAACCACCAUAGAACAAAAAUUUGGAAGCUCGGUCUUCUUCGCGCUGCAAUCAUGUCCAACGUCGCAGCCCGUAUGGCCGUGGCGCAGAACUGCACCUUCCCUUCGGUCUUCUGCGAACCGGGGAGACGGUUAUCAACGAAAGCGGAGAACCCAACUCAAGACCCCGCCGUCCGAUCAGAUGCACGACGCCUCACCGAUCGAUCCAUUUCUUCGAACCCCAACCGCAGGGUUUGGUGUAUGGGAAGCUGCUCGGAAACUCGAGGAAUACGCUGAAGAACGAUGUUGUGAAUAUGCUGGAAGGCUGUAAUUUGAGGCUGGAGGAUGUUAAAGUUGAUUACAAUCAAGCCUUUACGUCGAUGGGGAUGGUAGUGCAGUUCCAGUCAUGGAAAGCUUUUGAUAAUGCAGCUAGGGUAUGCUGAUUCUGGGUUUGUGAAUGACAGGCUAACCGAUCGCAGUGGGACAAUCUUACUUCCUAUGAUGGAAAAACUGUUUUACUCAAGGAAUCCCUCAAACUGCAGCUCCAGAAGAUGUAGAACGAUUUUUGUCUGGUUGUGAAUACAACUCGUCUUCCCUCCAGAUAGUUUUCAGGUCUUUCCCAGAAUCCUCUAAAUUUGCGACAGUUCGCUGUACUUCUCAAACUGUGGUAAUAUAUGCAUUACUUGCUAAGAAAAAAGGCCCCUGCCAGAAUGGUCAGAUUUUGAUGCGCGCUCUCCAGUAAUCCUGGUUUGAGAUAAGAUUAUGUAUUUUUUGAGACCGUGUUUUGUUUACUGGAUUCAAUUCAACAAUUGAAAUGUUCAUUCCUUUUGUAGCAAUGGGUAUCCCAUUCUUGCUUUUAA